GCCGCUCUUUUGCAAUCUUCACGUUCAUCACGCGAUCGAUCCCUCCGCUGUGUGUAGACGACGGCAUUAGCGCAGUGAAUCCCACAGUGAACAAGGCAAAUGCAGAGCCGGCAGAUGUCUGAGAGUGACCCUGUAGACAAAUAAUCGAGACCGGCCCACGUGUUUCCCUGCUGUAAACUAUUAUCCUCUCUCUUGUGUCUCCAUCUGAGCUCACAGACAAAGAUCGAUCGCUCUAUUCAUUGCACAGCACUAAUGUUUAGGCUGAAAGAAUGUUUCUGCAUUGCAUGCUAAUAAAGUACGGUAAGAUCACUCAUGCAUAAUGCGCUUUUAGCACAGCGCGUAAUGAUAGGGCUUUCCUGUGCGAUUGUGAUGUUAGGGCCCUAUGAUUUCCACGGUGCGGAGAACACGGACAGAGUCCGGUCAUAAAGAUUUCAGAGUCUGUCGUCUCUCUAAAUGAAGACAU